CCUACGGGAGGCAGCAGUGGGGAAUAUUGGACAAUGGGGGGAACCCUGAUCCAGCCAUGCCGCGUGUGUGAAGAAGGCCCUCGGGUUGUAAAGCACUUUCAGUGAGGAAGAACGCCUGGUGGUUAAUACCCAUCAGGAAAGACAUCACUCACAGAAGAAGCACCGGCUAACUCCGUGCCAGCAGCCGCGGUAAUACGGAGGGUGCGAGCGUUAAUCGGAAUUACUGGGCGUAAAGCGCGCGUAGGUGGCUUGAUAAGCCGGUUGUGAAAGCCCCGGGCUCAACCUGGGAACGGCAUCCGGAACUGUCAAGCUAGAGUGUAGGAGAGGAAGGUAGAAUUCCCGGUGUAGCGGUGAAAUGCGUAGAGAUCGGGAGGAAUACCAGUGGCGAAGGCGGCCUUCUGGACUGACACUGACACUGAGGUGCGAAAGCGUGGGUAGCAAACAGGAUUAGAUACCCUAGUAGUC
rnacentral:rRNA from 1 species